CCUACGGGGGGCAGCAGUGAGGAAUAUUGGUCAAUGGUCGGGAGACUGAACCAGCCAAGCCGCGUGAGGGAGGAAGGUACAGAGUAUCGUAAACCUCUUUUGUCAGGGAACAAAGGCGGGGACGUGUCCCCGGCUGAGUGUACCUGAAGAAAAAGCAUCGGCUAACUCCGUGCCAGCAGCCGCGGUCAUACGGAGGAUGCGAGCGUUAUCCGGAUUUAUUGGGUUUAAAGGGUGCGCAGGCGGUCUGUUAAGUCUGCGGUCAAAGCCCGGGGCUCAACCCCGGCCCGCCGUUGAAACUGGCAGUCUCGAGUUGGAGAGAAGUAUGCGGAAUGCGCGGUGUAGCGGUGAAAUGCAUAGAUAUCGCGCAGAACUCCGAUUGCGAAGGCAGCAUGCCGGCUCCACACUGACGCUGAGGCACGAAAGCGUGGGUAUCGAACAGGAUUAGAUACCCCGGUAGUC
rnacentral:rRNA from 1 species